rnacentral:rRNA from 1 species
GACGAACGCUGGCGGCGUGCUUAACACAUGCAAGUCGAGGGGCAGCGUGAAGAAGUAGCAAUACUGAUUUGACGGCGACCGGCGCACGGGUGCGUAACGCGUAUGUAACCUACCUUUAACAGGGGGAUAACACUGAGAAAUUGGUACUAAUACCCCAUAAUACUUUAGGGGGCAUCUCCUUUAGUUGAAAGUUCCGGCGGUUAAAGAUGGACAUGCGUUGUAUUAGCUAGAUGGUGAGGUAAUGGCUCACCAUGGCGACGAUACAUAGGGGGACUGAGAGGUUAACCCCCCACACUGGUACUGAGACACGGACCAG